UGGCGGACGGGUGAGUAACGCGUGGGUAACCUGCCUUAUACAGGGGGAUAACAGUUAGAAAUGACUGCUAAUACCGCAUAAGCGCACAGUACCGCAUGGUACAGUGUGAAAAGCCGAGACGGUAUAAGAUGGACCCGCGUCUGAUUAGCUAGUUGGUGGGGUAACGGCCCACCAAGGCGACGAUCAGUAGCCGACCUGAGAGGGUGACCGGCCACAUUGGGACUGAGACACGGCCCAAACUCCUACGGGAGGCAGCAGUGGGGAAUAUUGCACAAUGGGGGAAACCCUGAUGCAGCGACGCCGCGUGAGUGAAGAAGUAUUUCGGUAUGUAAAGCUCUAUCAGCAGGGAAGAAAAUGACGGUACCUGACUAAGAAGCCCCGGCUAACUACGUGCCAGCAGCCGCGGUAAUACGUAGGGGGCAAGCGUUAUCCGGAUUUACUGGGUGUAAAGGGAGCGUAGACGGUGAAGCAAGUCUGAAGUGAAAUACCCGGGCUCAACCUGGGAACUGCUUUGGAAACUGUUUUACUAGAGUGCUGGAGAGGCAAGCGGAAUUCCUAGUGUAGCGGUGAAAUGCGUAGAUAUUAGGAGGAACACCAGUGGCGAAGGCGGCUUGCUGGACAGUAACUGACGUGAGGCUCGAAAGCG
rnacentral:rRNA from 1 species